rnacentral:miRNA from 1 species
GUCUCCUGUACCCUCAUCGUCG